rnacentral:rRNA from 1 species
UACAGAGGUGGCGAGCGUUACUCGGAUUUAUUGGGUGUAAAGGGCAAGUAGGCGUCUUGACAAGUUGGGGGUGAAAUCCUGCAGCUUAACUGCAGAACUGCUCUCAAAACUGCCAAGAUUGAGACUGGGAGAGGAAAGCGGAAUUCUCGGUGUAAGAGUGAAAUCUGUAGAUAUCGAGAGGAACACCAGUGGCGAAGGCGGCUUUCUGGUCCAGUACUGACGCUGAAUUGCGAAAGCUAGGGGAGCAAACAGG